AGAGAAGGACACAGGCGCUCUCUACUGUCUGAGGAGAACAGAAAUCCCAGCGACCGGAGAUACUGACAGAAUAAAAAUAAACAAUAUGUCGCUCCGUCUCCGUGUUCGGAAACACACUCUUACGCCGUGAAUAUAGAAGGUACGAGUGGAAAUGAAACUUCUCACCAUCUUUGCCUUUUUCGUAUGCAAGGCUGGCGCUAACGUCCGACCCGUAAAUACCAAAGAAGGAAACCGUACAUCUCUACGUUCUCUAGUGGAAAUUCCAAAUCGCUGGCACGAGUCACGGUAGCGGCGCUGGUGCCCGCUGUCAGUCUCACGCCAAGUGUUACGAGACGCAUCAAUAUGUCAGUAGACCUCUACUUGGAAGCAUGAAUUAUUAUGCGGAUGAUGCCAAUUCCGAAUAAUUACCAUGAAGUAUCGACCGGGAGUCGUUUUAAAAGCUUAUACUUGCUGUACUUUAUUACACACUUGACUAAAGACUAAGGCUCAUCGUUUUUCUAGCCUUCAUCACUGUCUGUUUCUGCUAGUUGAAGAUUUUUGAUUGUUGUCUCUUAUAGUUUGGGAUUAUUGCCAAAGUUUUCUUUCUUUGUCUCCUGAUAGGUCAGGUGUAAAUUGACGUAUCGCUGACUUAAAGCAAUAGCCAGAAAUCAUACAGUAUAAUAGGGUGAUUGCUUUCCAAAGCACUGGGCAAAGUGUGUGUGUAUGUCAGUAUAUGAGUGUGUGUGAGUGUGUGUAAGCGAUGCUCUCAGACUUUCCUCUGGUGCUGUAGCUCAUUGAUUAUUAAUGCUGAAGAGGAAAUGCAGCAUGGUCUGAGAGAGAGUGAGAGGGAAUCUGUCUUGAGGGCAUGGACAUUUCUCUCUCUCUCUCUCUCUCUCUCUAUAUAUAUAUAUAUAUAUAUAAUGUAUGUAUAUGUAUAUGUGUGUGUGUGUAUACCAAAGCUUCCAACCUGAGGAUGUCGUGACAGAAAAAGAAAGAGAGAUAAGCAAGAGGUGGGGAGUUGAAGGAGCCGAAAAGGAAGGUGGAGUGAAGGAAACGAAAAAGGUGGAGAGGUGAAGGUGGAAAAAGGACAAGAAGUGAAAUAGAAGGUGCAAAUGUUCAGAGGAAAAAAAAAGGAGGUGGAGAGGUGAAGGAGCCAAAAAAGAAAGGAAGUGAAAUCGGAGGUGCAAAUGUGAAGAGAGCUGAAGGAGCGAAAAAGGAGGUGGAAAGUGAAGAGGCAAAAAGGAGAUGGAGAGAUGAAGGAGAAGAUUGAAGCGUUAGAAAAGGAAUUUUCCGGAGAGUUCUGGGGCUUGUAUGUCCCAUAGGUGGGUGGCAGGUUGCAUUUCGGGCCGUUAGAUUGGAACAGUGUCAGAUCGAGCCUGACUCCGGCGUCAGCACUUUAACAUUUCAGCUUCUCCACAAACGCUUCCUAAGGGAGGGCUCGAGUCUGGGAGUUCAGCGGUUCAGAAUUAGGGUAAGUGGAGUUGCUGCUCAUGUGGCAGUAACGAUGGAUUCCACACUCGUCCUGUAUGAUUUAAUCUGAUUCCUGGUAUAAUUGUUCUGAAAUGUGCUUCAUUUUCCCCCCCAUUGGCUUAACAUUUGGUUAAAAAAGAGACUCAAUCCAUAGUUUAAUAAUGUACUAGGGCUAGGGUUAGGGUUAAGUUGUCCUUGUGUCUGUUGUGAGCUCGCGAAUCCAGACUCGUGCUCUUGCUUGAACUGACUGUAAUGUUAACAUUUUUAAAUGAAACCGUUGUCUGCCGGUUCUACAAGACACAUAUCGACACCUUGACACGUUUCAACUCAGCAAAGGUUCCUGGCACACUAUACGCUUUUCUCAGCACAAAAUAGACGCUUAAUUGCUCUUAAUCGAAAUGAUCUCAGCGCCUAGCGAGGAUCUUCAUCACAUUCCGCUCCUAGAGCAGACCGUUAAAACCGACCGGCAGUGUGCUUGGAUGAAGAGGAUGAUGAAACGAGUCUGUGGUCUGCAUAUAGGGUUGUUUUUGUUUUUUUGUUUUUAUGACCGCUCGAGCCAGUCGAUUUUUAAACAGUCCCUAUAGGUAAUCGGUGAAGCUAAUAGCCUGAGCGCCAUUUGCCUGAGCCCACUGUCCCAGCGGGAGCCGUUCGGGUACUCGCCGCAACAUAAACGUGACGACGUCAUGGCUGGUGAUGGGAAGACGAUUGCGUUUCAGGAAGCGCUCGGAUGUUUUACCUUCCGACGUAUCGGAUAUCCAUCAACAUCAGAAGCAGCUGAGCUCACACCCACACACACCCUCAGAUCGCACGCAAAGACGGCUCAUUAAUAAUAGAGUCCGUCUGCGCCGUCCCUCUGUCUCACUUACUGUUCUAGUCUAAUGCGGGUCAUCAGGCGUUAGCUGUUUCUUGCGCUACUCAAAACCCUUCACGCAGCAUGGGAUUUAGUAAUUUGUUUGUGUGUGAAGGGGGGGGGGGGGGGGGGUGACCUAGCGAUCAUCAGGAUGAGAUCAGAUGUUUUAUUCAUGUUGAUGAUGUAAGAGAGAAAAGCUGCCGAACGUCUUACUAAGUCUGAGCUCAGCUGUCGCACUAAUGAGAAGAGUAUGAUUACAUGUCCCUGAAAUACACAAAGAAAACAUCACCUAGCAUAUCUCCAGAGAGAGUGUGUGUGUGUGUGUGUGUGUAUGUGUAGGCAGUGUCUUCGCUUCUUGCUGGUCCAUAUUUGAAGGUGACAGAAAGGAAACGUAACGCAGCAGCUGUGAAGUCAGCUCAGGGAGUGAUGAUGUGUGAAACGAGGAAAGUAGAAAAUGGAAAGAUGUGUCAAAAGAUUAAUGCUAGUUUUAGGUAGUGCUGAUCAUUUCUGUAGUUGUGUGUCAUCAGUCCCUUGUGCCAGUAAAAGAUCUAAAGCACCAUCUCACCAGAAAUUAUCCUCUGGCACUUUCUGUUCUUAAUGGGGCAACCUCUCAAGUGAAUUCUGGAGUCCCAAAACCUUGACCUGUUGUGACAACCUGAUACCCGUCUUUCCCGAGAACAUUUAUGAGUACAGGGUCUGUGUGAUGCAGUAAGGUGAGCGUAUCCUAAGCCAAGGAAUGCUGGUUAACUAGGCUACUAACAAGAACCCACAUGUGGCAACAUGAACAUGCUGGCACUUUGUUGUACCAUGACCUCGAAGUAUCUUCUGUAUGGUACUCGGCCACAACGCUACCAUUGUUCCCUAAUACUAUUUAACGUAUUUGUCCAGUCUGUUCCAUCAUCUAGAUCCCAAUUUGGACCUUGAUGUUCAAGCAUAAGGUUUGUCCUCAAAUCUAUGUGUCCUUUCGUAGCCAAGAGAACAAGUGAAACAGCCACUUCGCAUUGCAAGCCUUUGUGCCUGACUUACUAUUGGUAGAACAACAAGGAAUCUGCACCAAACCCCAAACCCAUCUCAAGCUGCUUCCCAGUUUAGAACCCUAGUUGCUGGUGGGUGGGCGCUUACUCCAUUUCCAGCACCCCUUACCUGACAGGCGUCUUUGGUUUGCAGCAGGUUAGGUGUUGUCAGUGUGCAGGGCAUUCAUGGUUGUUCUUUUGGCUACAGAUUUUGGUUUUCAAAUGGGAAUAUUUCAUUGAUUGGCCCACAGUAUCUCCAGAAAAGUGUCUUAAAAUGGCUUCCUAUGUGUUUGCCUGGUCUCCAGCAGGCCAGUUUGAAUAAACUUCCCUCUGAUGCACAUAUUGUUUUGGUGCCUUUGUGGUCAGUCAUAAUGAGGCUCAAAUUCCCAUCUCCCUUAAUAGCCUAGAGGUCGAAGCUGCCAGAAAACCUUGAUUAAAUCCUACACCCACUGGUUUCAUCCUUUCUCAAGGCUCUCGUAACUCUACCAACCCACCAGAUCAAGUCUCAGGCUGCCUCCAUUUGUCCAAACCUGGUCGCUGAUAAGAGCUUAGUCCAUCCCAGCUCCCCAUCCUUGACAAGCAUCUUUGGUAGCACUGGGUUAGAUUAUUCUGGGAGGCAGGGCAUUGAUGGGUGCUCUCUUGCUUGGUUCUAAGAGAUUGACCUGAUUGUGCCUCCAGGUUUAGCUUCCUUUGAUACGGUGUUUGAAUUUGAGAGUAGCAGACAUUAUGUAUCUUCUCCUUCCACUGGUUCAGAUUCAUUGGUGAGGAACGGAUGUCAUAUGUUGCACUUAGCAGGAAGCAGUUUUGGCUUGUAUCUCUCUGCCAUAUGUCCUUCCAGCUGAGCUUCCUUCUCUUCACGCUCUCCCAGUUCCCCACUGUCCCUGUCCGGCAUAUUAGACAAACAUGGUGUACCUCUUCCCCAAUCUGCGCAAUUCUCCCAGAACCAGAUUCCUCUCUGGUGAGGUUACCUUGUUCCAGAAGCAUCCGUUUUUUUUAUCCAUCUCUUUCCACCCUGAAGCCACAGUUGGUGCUGUGUACGUUCUCACUGCAUAACGAUAGUCUUAUAGGGUCACGUAAUACCUUAUAUGUACUGGUAUAUCGGUACACACAAAAUCCACACCUUAAGGAGAAUUAAAACCCGUACACCGGAUCAAACGUCAUACCGCUCGCUACUACACUACCGUAAGAGUGCAUUACUACGAGCAGCUUGUCGCUAGCUACCCACAAACGUGUCCUCACAUAACCGUAAAAUUAGCCCGCUUCUGCCGUCUGUCUGUCUGCGUCUUGUCUCUCGGCUCCCCUCCUCCUCUUCUGUAAUUCUCUGAACAUCCAGAUGUGACACAUUUAUUAGAUUUCAUGAUCAAUAUUAGAGCGGAGCAGGAUGAUCCUCGCUGAAUUAUUCAGACUGCAGGAGUUUUAGGCCUGAUUUAGAGCUUCUAAUCAACCCCACUCAUGGGAUAAGUGCACAUUUAUGUGAUUGAAGUGCGUAAUAAUUUGAUGAUCCUUUGAAAAGCUUUGCAUCGGUUUACUCGGGCGCAGCGCAGACUAAACGAUGCGUAUCGAGGCUUCUUGUCCUCCUUGAUGUUUGACUGCAGUUCAUUUCGAACGAAACUGUACUCGUGGACUCCACUGCAGUAGCAUGACAGGCAAGUCAUUCAUGACGUCUAAAACGUGGAGUGACGGGAUGGAGAAUUUCAGCUUCUUUUAGCUAGCAACCUCAGCUAACAGGACACCUGACAAACUAGUAUCGUAGCAAACGGGUGUAAGCAUGACGUAGCGAAGUCCCGAGAGGCUAAAUUUCCCCGGGCUGACGUCAACAUGGCUGAGAGUUCAAGGAAAUAUCACUGGCCUUGCUUUCUGGAUGGGAAGGACGGCGUUGACGUGAUCUCACUCAGAGAAAGCUAGCUAAUGGUGACUUCUGGUGAGCUCAAUGGACAAAGAACAGGGCAGUGUGGGUCUCCUUCAAGCACCUUAGCUGCCCUUUGACAUUGUACAAGCAGCAGUUUCAAAACUUGAAGUCCCUUACAGUACAACUCCAAGGUCACUGGUUUGAACCCGAGUUUGGGUUACGCUAUCACGUAGUUUCUGUGCAUGUUCUCCCCAACUUUGGUUUCCUCACACCUUCCGGAGACAUGGCAGUAGGUGUAUUAGCGAAGAUAACUCACCCUGGGUGUCAUUGAGUACGUGAACGUGUGUGCGCAUGGUCUCCUGUGAUAAGCUGGCGUCCCAGCCAUGUUGCGUUCCCAACUCACGCUCGGGAUCUAACGUGACCUUGACCAGGAUCAAAUGGUUACUGAAGAUAAAUCAUUCCAAGCUUGAGUUAAGGUUUCUGGCUAAGUGCUAGCUAAGCAGCUUGCCGCCGAGAUUAAGCAAGCUAGUUAGACAAGCGGACGGCCGUCUAAAAACUAGGCGAGGUGGUGAUGUGAUCAGAACUUCAACAGGAGGCCAACAUGCCAUUACCCACAGUGUGUCGUUAGCAUAAACAAGCUAACUUAUGAGCUAGCAUUAUCAUUAAAGGGCUAAGAUAGGAAGUAAACACUAACCGUGCUAGCUCUAGCAAUGGUAUCGGUUAGGAUCUUUUUUUAACUUGUUUAACUGUAAGUCUACAAGCUGUGAAAUGAUAUCGUUUCUUGAUACGGUGUUGAAAUAAACCCGGUCGUUUUGUUGGCAACAAGCUAGCCGGCUAAUGUUAGCGAUUUAGGUAAUAACUUUAACACUGAUGUAUGUACCUUCUCAAAACAGAACGAGAAGGUACGUCGUGUGUACGUUGACUAUCUGUAGCAAAUACUAAUAUAAAUGUAAAAAGGUGUGAGCAGCCACGUUGGUACGACCGUGCGCUGAAGACUUCUUCCCAACUUUCCGGAGUGCCUCGCUAGCAAGGUGAGCGCAUGAUGAAACGUUGACGCUCGGGUUGUUGCGUGUUGGUGCAUACGAACGAGGUCGAGGUCUUAUUUUAAGACUGCGUCACAAGAGAUUCAUAAAGACUGAUUAUGCAGGGAUGCAGUUUACUCCCUCUCUCCAUCUGUAACCAGCUCGGUGUGAUCUCUCUCCAGCUGCUCCUGUGCCCUGCCGCUAUUAAACCCUUCUUUUCUUUUCUUUUCUUUUUUUCUUUCAUCUCUUUUUCUGUCCGCUGCCUCCUCUAACAGGCUGUAAUGCUAUCAUUAGCUGUCCAUGGCUCUUGUUCUGAAAGGCAAGGAUGAUGAUGGGAAAGAAUAGUGCUAUCAGGAGAAG
ensembl:lncRNA